GCGGCAUUCCAAAGCGCUAUUUUAAACCCGGUAUAAAGAUAAAAUUCUUGGUUCGGGAGACAAGUCCCUCUUUUAUCUUCAUCGUCCUCCUCCCUUACUCCUCUUCUCGCCCAGUCGCCCUCAACACCCUCCCUCACAUCCCUCUUUAUCCAAACCAAUCCUUACCUCAAUUCGGACCACUUUCGACAGCCCGUUCGAGUCUCUUACGGUGUCGCUCGACCUUAAUUUGCGCGAUCGUCAAUUCGCUGGACAGCACUCCCAGAGUUAGCCGCCGUGUUAUGGGCUUCUGGGAAUUACAAUUGGUGGAUAUCAUGGAUCACAGAGGAAGUUGAGGUAUCAUUUGCUAUUGGAAUCUGAGGGAUUGAUAGUGUGCUUAUGUGGAAUUCAUUGGAAUUAAGUGGACUUGAGAAGUAUUAGUACACUUUGUUGUUUUGCUUGCUGCUACUGUUUUUCUUUGAAGUGAUUUAUCUGUUAGAUCGUCUGUAUUCCAGGGAUUCAAGGCAGCUUGCAUUCAAAUGAAAAUCUCUCUCCCUAGGUAAAGGUCUUCGCUUUCUGACAGUAAGUUCUAUUGGUAAAGGUGAAGAUGCAACAGGAAGUUGAUCAAUAUUUGACAGCAAUGCUGAUUGUGAAUCUUCGACAGCCCAGUUGAGAGAACAGCUCCUGUUGUCUACAACGCUGAGAACUGGAGCCAAAGGGAAGAGAAGCAUUUGGGUCUAGGUUUUGAUCAGGUGCAAUGAUAUUGAUCCAAUUAGGAACGACCUGUACAUGUUAUUGUAAGAGACUCUUGACUGAGUUGGUGAGCUAUUGCAACUUCGGGGUUAUCUCAAAUUGAUUGAGUUGGGUCUUGAGGGUGGUUGUGCACAAACUUCUAUUGUUUUCAUUAGAUGAUCCUCAUCGGAAAAUCUGUACAGCAAUUAGUAUGGCUGUAGCAUCAAUAGCAAGUUAUGAUUGGCCAGAAGAUUGGCCGGACUUAUUACGAUAUCUAAUGAAGUUGAUUAACAACCAAACCAAUAUGAAUGGAGAUAAGCCUUUCCAAUUCAUGAUCUGCCAACUCUAUCUUGAUUCUUUGUGUGGCCAAAAUGAGUCUAUCAGAAACAUUAAGUUUUUUAAAUUGUUUGUUGUGCUUUUUCAUAUUUGUUACUUUGACAAGUUUCUUCUGCUUUAGAUUACACAUUUCCUAAAUUUUGCAGUGCAUGGAGCACUUAGAUGCUUGGCUUUUCUCUCUGUGGACUUGGAUGAUACAGUGGUCCCGAAACUAAUUCCUGCUUUGUUCCCAUGCUUGCUUACAAUUGUAUCAUCUCCUCAGAAUGGUGAAGAGGCCGGGUGUCAGUUCAGAGGUAGAGAAAUCUCAAUGCACAUCAAUUACAACUGUUACAUGUGAAGAGUUGCAAAAGCUUGUCCAUCUUUCUCAUGGAUUUUGUUGUCAUGGGAGUGUUGAAAUUGUUUUAGGCUUUUAAAUUAAUUUUCAAGAGACAUGUACUUGUGAUCAUGAUCAACAAGUGAUAAUGUGGAUUGUUUUCAGCAAUACAAUGUAUUUACUUUAAUACAAUUUCUAUUAUAUAGAAGUUUCAUUACUAUUAGAGUUCUA